rnacentral:rRNA from 1 species
ACUGAACGCUGGCGGCAGGCCUAACACAUGCAAGUCGAACGGUAACAGGAAACAGCUUGCUGUUUCGCUGACGAGUGGCGGACGGGUGAGUAAUGUCUGGGAAACUGCCUGAUGGAGGGGGAUAACUACUGGAAACGGUAGCUAAUACCGCAUAACGUCGCAAGACCAAAGAGGGGGACCUUCGGGCCUCUUGCCAUCGGAUGUGCCCAGAUGGGAUUAGCUUGUUGGUGGGGUAACGGCUCACCAAGGCGACGAUCCCUAGCUGGUCUGAGAGGAUGACCAGCCACACUGGAACUGAGACACGGUCCAGACUCCUACGGGAGGCAGCAGUGGGGAAUAUUGCACAAUGGGCGCAAGCCUGAUGCAGCCAUGCCGCGUGUAUGAAGAAGGCCUUCGGGUUGUAAAGUACUUUCAGCGGGGAGGAAGGCGAUGGAGCUAAUAGCUUCAUCGAUUGACGUUACCCGCAGAAGAAGCACCGGCUAACUCCGUGCCAGCAGCCGCCGUAA